ACGCGUUGGGAGCUCUCCCAUAUGGUCGACCUGCAGGCGGCCGCGAAUUCACUAGUGAUUAGAGUUUGAUCAUGGCUCAGAUUGAACGCUGGCGGCAGGCCUAACACAUGCAAGUCGAGCGGUAGAGAGAAGCUUGCUUCUCUUGAGAGCGGCGGACGGGUGAGUAAUGCCUAGGAAUCUGCCUGGUAGUGGGGGAUAACGUUCGGAAACGGACGCUAAUACCGCAUACGUCCUACGGGAGAAAGCAGGGGACCUUCGGGCCUUGCGCUAUCAGAUGAGCCUAGGUCGGAUUAGCUAGUUGGUGGGGUAAUGGCUCACCAAGGCGACGAUCCGUAACUGGUCUGAGAGGAUGAUCAGUCACACUGGAACUGAGACACGGUCCAGACUCCUACGGGAGGCAGCAGUGGGGAAUAUUGGACAAUGGGCGAAAGCCUGAUCCAGCCAUGCCGCGUGUGUGAAGAAGGUCUUCGGAUUGUAAAGCACUUUAAGUUGGGAGGAAGGAAUCGAAUUCCCGCGGCCGCCAUGGCGGCCGGGAGCAUGCGACGU
rnacentral:rRNA from 1 species